rnacentral:rRNA from 1 species
UACGGAGGGUGCAAGCGUUAUCCGGAUUCACUGGGUUUAAAGGGUGCGUAGGUGGGUAGGUAAGUCAGCGGUGAAAUCCCCGAGCUUAACUUGGGAACUGCCAUUGAUACUAUCUGUCUUGAAUACCUUGGAGGUGAGCGGAAUAUGUCACGUAGCGGUGAAAUGCUCAGAUAUGACAUAGAACACCAAUUGCGAAGGCAGCUGGCUACACAAAUAUUGACACUGAGGCACGAAAGCGUGGGGAUCAAACAGG